GACGAACGCUGGCGGCGUGCUUAACACAUGCAAGUCGAACGGAAAGGCCCUGCUUUUGUGGGGUGCUCGAGUGGCGAACGGGUGAGUAACACGUGAGUAACCUGCCCUUGACUUUGGGAUAACUUCAGGAAACUGGGGCUAAUACCGGAUAGGAGCUCCUGCUGCAUGGUGGGGGUUGGAAAGUUUCGGCGGUUGGGGAUGGACUCGCGGCUUAUCAGCUUGUUGGUGGGGUAGUGGCUUACCAAGGCUUUGACGGGUAGCCGGCCUGGGAGGGUGACCGGCCACAUUGGGACUGGGAUACGGCCCAGACUCCUACGGGAGGCAGCAGUGGGGAAGAUUGCACAAUGGGCGGAAGCCUGAGGCAGCAACGCCGCGGGCGGGAGGACGGCCUUCGGGUUGUAAACCGCUUUCGCCUGUGACGAAGCGUGAGUGACGGGAAGGGGUAAAGAAGCACCGGCUAACUACGUGC
rnacentral:rRNA from 1 species